UAAUAAUUGAAGAGAGAGCACCAGUUUGAUGAGACAAAAGCUGGUAAUUAUGGAGCAUCUGAAAUGGGAAACGAGCUGGAUCCUUCAGUGAAUUCUUGCAGGAAUCACAUAUGACAGGCAAGCUCUGCAUGGAUAUGCAGUACGUGUGUGUGUUCACACUGGACUGGCACAGUCACGCUACUUCUUGGCUUUCAGGCACUGGGGCUGCCCCUGUCUCACAGGCAUUGCUGGUCACUGCAUGCAGCUCUGCCAAGGUAAAAGCACAGGGUGUGCAGCUUGUGCUUACAGCAGUUACUGACGUAUUGUCAGUGGGUAUGGAAGAACACUCAGAGGAUGCAGAUAAAGCCUUGUGGCUUUAAACAGAUGCGUUAGUUUCCUCAUAUCUUUCUGAUGAUAACAGGCACGUUCAGGUUCUGGUAUGAGCGGUGUGCCAGAAGGGAUGAUCAGGUUUCAUCAUUUAGUUCAUAUUACCUAGGAGACGAGCAGUUUCCAUUUUCAGGGCUUCAAGCAGCAACUCCCUUUCUUGGAAAUGAACUGCUGAUUGCUAACGCUGCUAUAAAAUGGGGGGUCAGCUCUAAUCGCGCACUGCUACACAGAUUGCACCUUUCAUUUGCUAACCUAGCAGUGUUUGGCCACUCAAGCGGGAUGAAGUUUACUUGAGCAAAUGGACCCUGUUCAGAAGGAAGCAAACACUUUGUAAAAAGGCAUACAGCUUAGCACCAGAGAGCAAAAGAAGAGCUAUCUAUACCCAAGGCUGAAAUGCUGCCGCCUUCUUGCUUUUUCAUACAUGAUCAUCACUCUCAAAACCAGUCCCUUUGUUCUGCCUUAAGAGCCUGCCCCUCUGAAUUGAUCUUCAAGUCAACCGUCAAAGAUUCCAGGUGAAUGGUUUAAAAGCAAUCAGGUGAAGCAUUUAAUGCAAAGCUUUACAUGGCAAGACAAGUUUAUCGGAAAAAAAAAAUGCAAGCCAGUCUCUCCGAAGAUAAAGACUAUUUUAUAUUACUGAAGGUAGGUAACAUCCAGUAUGAGAAUAAUCCAAGAGAAAUUUUUGGUACCGCACAAUCCAGCUGGCUUGUCCCAUUUGAGCCGCGCACAAUCACAUACCAA